UUUUGGAAGUAAACUAGACGAUAUUGUUUUAAGUGGUAAUGAAGAAGAAAUAAUGAGGUUGGAAAAUGAGAAGAAAAAAAUCAAGAUUCAAGAUUCAAAGAUAUCAGAAAAUGUUUUUAAUAAAGUUCUAAAACCAAAGACUUUUAAAUUUGUGGGUAAGGAAAGUAAAUGUCGUCAACUGGGGACUUUCAAAAAACCGGAAAAGCUGUGAUAAAAAAGUUCCUAUAAAUGAAAACUUUGCUGAAUUUCAACUUUAAAAGGCUUUUGAAAAAUGAAGUUUGAUUCUUUUAUGGAUUCUUAUAAUACGUGUUGUAAGAAUGCUAUCGUCUUUUUACUACAUAAACAGAAAAAAAGGAAUUUAUUGAAAAAAUUUUUGUAUAAGUUUUAUAUAGUAAUGGUAACUAAAAUAAUACAUGAAAAACUGUAAUGAGUUUGUGUAUGAUAUUUUAAUAAAUUUAAAUUACAUAGUUUUCGCAAAUCCUAUAGUGUGUUUACCAGUAAGUUUCAAAUUCUAUUUUAGACAGAAUUUCCUUAUUUUGUAAAUUCUGAAAUAUUUAUGUUCAUUGUAAAAGCUUUUCCUUCAUCAUUUGAAAAAUUUAGGAAUGGAACUCCUUUCUCCAUGAUAUAAUUGCUGUCAUUUUCAUUUAUUUAUAUUUCUUUCUAAAUAUAAGUCAUUUUAAUAAUAAUAAUGUAAUUAGUGUAAAUGUACUUUGUUUUUAAUUUAGAUAAAUUCUUUGUUUAGGGUAUGUUUAGUACAUUUUCUUCCCAUUAUUGCUGUUUGCAAAUAAUUUGGUCAUUCAUUUUUUUGUGACACUGUUCAGAGCAUGUUUUGUCUUUUUGGUACAUGCAUAGACCCACAUUGCACAUCUCGCACAUGUAUCUUCUUCUAUGAGGUUUCUUUCUUGUGCUACAAAAUGUGCACUGCC